UACGUAGGGGGCAAGCGUUGUCCGGAUUCAUUGGGCGUAAAGAGCGUGUAGGCGGCCAGGUAGGUCGGUUGUGAAAACUGGAGGCUCAACCUUCAGAGGUCGAUCGAAACCAUCUGGCUAGAGUCCGGGAGAGGAGAGUGGAAUUCCUGGUGUAGCGGUGAAAUGCGCAGAUAUCAGGAAGAACACCAAUGGCGAAGGCAGCUCUCUGGGACGGUACUGACGCUGAGGCGCGAAAGCUAGGGGAGCGAACGGG
rnacentral:rRNA from 1 species